AAUUUUAAAGUUGAAAAAUGAGUGUGACUGUUUGUAAAUACAUAUAUUCAUUGAUAAAGACUGUAGACGAUUAGUUUUUAAUGUUUUGAUCGAACGAUUGAUUAGUGGAUAAUAACUCAUUCAUUUCUAAAUCAGUUAUUAGCUGAUAUUAAUCUCUCUAAACAUUUGUUUCUUUGUGUUAUUAUUGUAUUCAGUUGGUAGUUUUUAAUGUAUUAAAGGUAUAAUAUUCUAAAUACAUUAAAAAGAUAUGUGAAUUUUAAAUAAUGAAAAAACUCUUUAAUAUAUUAAUAGAAUAUGUAAAAACGAAGUUGAUGUAACAGAAAAAAUGGAGGAAUUUCCAGUGCAAAGUGUUAUUACGGACGUAACUAACCCUGUUCCCUCUUAUGUUUCUUUAAAUGAUACCAAAAAAAAGUGUAACCUAUCAUUUUCAUUUAAAUUCGAUUUUGAUGAUGUGAACAGUGAUGUAUCCUCCGAUUCAGAAACUGCAGACUUACAAAUUGAUGUUUCCGAAGUUGAUAAUUAUGAACCCUCUAGCAGACACAAAAGAGAUGCCGUGGAAGAAUCUUCUUCAGUUAUUAAUGAAAUGGAAGAAGAAAUUGAAAGGCAACUUGAUGCUAAAGCAGCGAAAACUAACUUGACAGCUACAAAUGUAAAAAAUAUCCUAAAACAUGUUAUUACUAACGAACAUGUAAUGGCAAUGGUUAAAAAUCGUCUUCAGGACACAGAGGAUGACAUACUUUUCGAACCUAAACUAACAAGAGCUAAGGCCAAAGAAUUAGCAGCGGCACAAGUUAAUAUACCAUGGCCAAUUACGCCAAUAAAAAAGACUACAUCAGAAAUGCAAGUAUUAAUUGAAGAAGAACUGCCCGAAGAUUCUUCUGACGAAGAAUAUAAUCCAGAACAAGAUAAACAAAGUGACGAUGAAAGGGAAGUAGAAAAUUCAACAAAUAAUGAUGUCGAUUUACAAUUCUCAACAUCAGCAAAUAAUCAUGAUGCAACUCCAAUUGAACAACCCAAAUCACCAAAUAUUCAAUAUGAUCCAGAAGGCAUUUUUAAAAUUCCAAUUAUUCCUCACGUACCAACAGAAGAGGAAAGUAUUGGCCAAAGAACACGUUCAAAACUUUGUUUGAGUGAAACACCUUUGGAACAUAUUGAACAAGCAUUUAUACCACCAGAUAUAACAACUGAUAUGUACGAUUGGGAUUGUGAAGUUGACGAAGAUUGGGAUAAUUUUUUAAAAGAGUUUACUCAACCAUUAGCUCAAGUUCCUAUAAUGGAAGAUGAUCCAGAAGCAGAUCCAGAAUAUAAUAUUUUAGAAGAUGAAGAAACAGAAUUUUUGGACAAAGAAGAAUUGCGAGCUGAUAAAGCUGUGAAAGUUACUCGCAAAGAAUUAAAUAAUUUAAUUGCUGAACUGUUUGAGUUUACUGAUACAUUUUCGAAAGAAGAACAGGAAAUUUCAAAAAAAAGAAGAUUUCCAGAAAAUUUAAAUUUAUCUAUUGAAAAUAGUUCUAUGAAUUGUUCUGUAACAGAUUUAUUACCUAUUUAUAAAGAACCUGAAAUUCCUGAAUUAAUGAAUUACAAUCAAAGACAGUUAUUGGCAGUUCAACUCUGUCAACAUGUUCAGUUAAUGGUACAACAUUUUGCUAUGACAUAUAUGCAUCCAGAUUUACACUUUCAAUCGAAAACAUGUAAACAAAAUUUAAUUAGUUUAAAGUAUUUAAGUAAUGGCCCUAAUUCUGCAUUUAAUGCACAAAAUUUGCCUGAUGCUUUAAAAUUGGUGUCUGAUUGGGAAGAAAAAUUUUUGGAUAAUCAAUUUUCUGAAGAUUUUAAAAAAACUAUUAUAGAUGAAGAUGCAGUGAAGAAGAUAUAUUCUUCAAAUAAUGCAAACUACAUUCCCAAAUUUCAUCCAGAAUUGAAGAAGUUAUUUAUGGAAAGCAAAGCAUUAAUGCAUCCACAACUUUUACCCGUAUCACCUUUCAAGAAUGAAUUAAAUAAAUUUAUACGCAGUCCAUACCUAAAAUCUGAAGAAUUUUUAAUUGCACUGGGCAUUGAACAAUUUCUCCCUUUUGCUGCAACAAAACCAAGAAAAUAUAAAAGUAAAUAUAUUCAAUUUAUGGAUGCAGUACAAUUAAUCAUUCAAUAUUUAAUACCAUGUAGAGAACCUCAGGCAUUAUAUCAUCACAUUAAAAAACGUAGAUGUGCUAAAGAUGCUAAUCCAAUAAAGUAUUAUUUCGAAAAGGGUUGUGUCCCCAAAACAAUACAUUAUAUAACACUAGAAUGCAAUCUUAAAGCACCAAAAGAGCAACCAAUAGAAUGUCUACCUGUACAGUGGCAGAAUUAUCUUAACAAUACAGAACAAAAAAUUGAUGUGUUAAAGCGUAAACAUAUAUUGAACUCAUAUAAUGAUCUUGUGAAGAAGGAUAAUGGUAUAAAUGGAAUUAUGAAGACACAUAUAUCUAUUUCCAAUGUUCAUUCCUUGCGAAAUCCUAUUGUAAACAUGUUACCAAAAAUAUUACCUGCAACUAUGAAUAAGAAAAAUUCAAAUAAGCAGAUAAUAAAAAGUACUCCAUACUUAAAUGAAAACAUUAAUUCUCAGUAUUCAACAAAAGUAGUCAACAAUGAGUCAAAUACAGGAUCUGGUAAUUCUAAUGCAGUAAAUGAAGAACACAAUUUGCAACGUAAUAAUAAUGAAUUAUUAUUCCUGGAAACUACGAUAAAUUUAAAGGAAAAAGAGAAGUCAUUGGAAAAAAAUAAAGGAAAUGAAAACAAUCGAAAUGAUAUACUUACAAUUUCAGCAACAUCAAAGCAUUCUAAGUUUUCUAAGAAGUGUUCUGGAAUAGUUCCAGAAUUGCCACAAUUACGAAAAACUACACCUAGAUUAGCAAAGACAAGAAGCGCUCAAAAUAUGAAGCUAAUGGCUCAAGUUUUAGGACCAAAAGGAUUAUCAUCUAAUUGCAGUACUUUAAAAUCUAGGGAAAAGAAUGAUAUGGACAAAAAUUUGGAAAAAAUACCAGCCUUGCCAAAACUUGAUAACGAAGAUGAAAUAGCAGAGCUUAUGUUAGCCAGUACAACUAUUAAAAAAGAUUCUCUUAGUAGGAAAAAAGCAAAGGAAGCCAGAGAAUUAGAAAAUAUUAAGAGGCUUUUAGAGUCUGAAAAUCCACUAAAUGAAGAAGAAAGAGGAUCAAAAUUUGCAGCAUCAUAUCUUCAAAAGUUGCAUUUGACAUUAGAAUCUAAUAGCCCUGAUAUAUUUCGAUCUGUGAUAAAAUUAUAUUUAGAUUAUUACGAAAAAUUAGAUAGUAUUAAUCAAAUGGAAAGUGAACUGUCUUUCUCUAACAUAUCUGGAGCUUCGCAAAAUGAAAAAAUUAUGGAACAAACUGCAAAGGAUAAAGAUGCCAUAGCUAUCCAUUUAUAUCAGGAUGUAUGUGAAAAGUUACAUGAAUAUCCAGAACUUUGUACAGAUUUUUUAUUAUUUUUAAAACCACAUCAAGCUGCGUUAAUGGAUAAAUCAGUUGAAUAUAUAAUGCUUCGAAAGAUAAGUGAAUUUAUUAAUGUUGCUCAAAUAUAUUUUGCUAAGCAACCCUCUCGAAUAGCAAAAAUGAUGCAAGCCAUCACACAACUUUCGUCUGAUCCGCAGACAGUGCUAGAACAUGUUCAUGCAACUAUGGGUCCUAUACUUAAGGGCCACCCUCUAGUUAUGGAUUUAUUUUUACAAAUAUUACCCACUGCUAAACCACCAGAAAGUUUAUUUGCAUCACACAUGUUUGAAAAUUUAACCUGCCCAGUGGGGCCACAUGAUAAAAACAAAGUAUAUACUGAAGAUGCAUCUGAAUUAUAUGAAAAUAUCGAACUGCCACUAUCAGGAUCUCAAGAAGAUCCUUAUGGUGGGGAAAAUUGUAGAUGCAAUUGUCAUAAUGGGGAUGAUUCUAUUUGUAAAACUAUUUCUGAACAUUGUGUGUCUUGCGGAACAAGGUUUCUCAAUGGAAAAAUCUAUCUUCAAACGUCUGAAGGUUUAAGACCUGCAAAAAUUAUUUUUCCUGGUGCUGAUGAAGAGAAAUUAGAAAAUAUUGCUCGUGUAUCUUUAAAAACGACAGAUAAAUUUGUUCCUUCAAUUCCAUCCAGACAACGGAGAAAAUCAUCGAAGAAUGAACCUAAUUCUGAUGAACAAUAUCAGAAACUUUGUGUGUCAAAAAGUUCACCGAUUAAAGAUAAUGAGGAGACCGGUAAGGUAAUAGUGAAAUCUAAAAGAAAUAUAAAAUCUCCAUCAAAAACAGCAGAUCAGAAAAAAGGUUUAAAGAGGUUGGGCAGUGCGGAUCGAAUGGAUGUUGCCACAAAAAAAGUGCGUAUAACACAGUGUAAAAGUAAAAGAGAAAAAAAAAUCGAUAAACAACAAACAAAAUUAGAAUGCAUAGAUUCUCAUAAUGAUUAUGCGAAAUUAGACGAAUCGUCAGGCAUAAAUACUGUUAUAGAAGUAACAGAAAAAACUGUAUCAGAUGAAGAAGGCGAAGUAUCAAAUGAUAGCAUAAACAAAGCUGAUUCAUCUGACGAGAUAAAAAACUGUAUUAAUGUAGUCGGUAAUGUAAAUGUUAAACCAUGGACGCGGCAAGAAGACAUGAUUCUUUUACAAACUAUUAAAAAAGAAUAUUCUGACAACUCAAUUGUUAUGGUUAGUAAAACAUUAGGAGAUCGUACAAUUGAACAAGUUAAAGAAAGAUGUGAAAUACUUUUGUCAUUAUUGGAAAAAAUGAUGUGACUGAACAGCUCACAAGAAAUGCGUUUUGUUAAACAUAUUGUUCUGUGAAACAUAUUGAAUGAAUACAGAUUGUUUUAAUAUAUUCAAAUUUGAUUUAAAAUUAUGACGAAUUAAAUAAAAAUAUAAAUAUAU